AUUGAACGCUGGCGGCAUGCUUUACACAUGCAAGUCGAACGGUAACAGGCCUUCGGGUGCUGACGAGUGGCGAACGGGUGAGUAAUGCAUCGGAACGUGCCCAGAGGUGGGGGAUAACGCAGCGAAAGCUGUGCUAAUACCGCAUGUGAUCUGAGGAUGAAAGCGGGGGACCAGGCAGCAAUGUUUGGCCUCGCGCCUUUGGAGCGGCCGAUGUCAGAUUAGGUAGUUGGUGGGGUAAAGGCCUACCAAGCCGACGAUCUGUAGCUGGUCUGAGAGGACGACCAGCCACACUGGGACUGAGACACGGCCCAGACUCCUACGGGUGGCAGCAGUGGGGAAUUUUGGACAAUGGGCGCAAGCCUGAUCCAGCAAUGCCGCGUGCGGGAAGAAGGCCUUCGGGUUGUAAACCGCUUUUGUACGGAACGAAAAGGCUCUGGCUAAUACCUGGGGCUGAUGACGGUACCGUAAGAAUAAGCACCGGCUAACUACGUG
rnacentral:rRNA from 1 species